GACGAACGCUGGCGGCGUGCUUAACACAUGCAAGUCGAACGGUAAGGCCCUUCGGGGUACACGAGUGGCGAACGGGUGAGUAACACGUGGGUGAUCUGCCCUGCACUUCGGGAUAAGCCUGGGAAACUGGGUCUAAUACCGGAUAGGACCACUGCCUGCAUGGGUGGUGGUGGAAAGCUUUUGCGGUGUGGGAUGGGCCCGCGGCCUAUCAGCUGGUUGGUGGGGUGAUGGCCUACCAAGGCGACGACGGGUAGCCGGCCUGAGAGGGGGACCGGCCACCCUGGGACUGAGGUACGGCCCAGACGCCUACGGGAGGCAGCAGUGGGGAAUAUUGCACAAUGGGCGCAAGCCUGAUGCAGCGACGCCGCGUGAGGGAUGACGGCCUUCGGGUUGUAAACCUCUUUCAGCACCGACGAAGCGCAAGUGACGGUAGGUGCAGAAGAAGGACCGGCCAACUACGUGCCAGCCGCCGCGGUAAGAC
rnacentral:rRNA from 1 species